GCAGUAGCGCGACCUUCGGCUCACUGCAAGCUCGGCCUCCCGGGUUCAAGCCAUUCUCCUGCCUCAGCCUCCUGAGUAGCUGGGACUACAGGUGCCUGCCACCACACCCGGCUAAUUUUUUGUAUUUUUAGUAGAGACGGGGUUUCACCAUGUUAGCCAGGAUGGUCUUGAUCUCCUGACCUCGUGAUCCACCCGCCUGAGACCCCCAAAGUGCUGGGAUUACAGGUGUGAGCCACCGUGCCCGGCCAGCACUUUCUUUUCCUGUUAAUAUACUGUCAUGCUGGGUGCGGUGGCUCACGCCUAUAAUCCCAGCACUUUGGGAGUCCGAGGCAGGAGGACUGCUUGGGCCCAGAAGUUUGAGACCAGCCUGGCAACAUGGCGAAACUGCAUCUCUACAAAAAAUACAAAAAAUUAGCUGGGCAUAGUGGAGCAUGCCUGUUGUCCCAACUACCCGGGAGGCUGAGGCUACUGGGGAGGAUGAAAUGGGAGGAUCACCUAAGCCCCAGGAGGUUGAGGCUGCAGUGAGCUGUGAUCGUACCACUGUACUCCAGCCUAGGAGACCCAUCUGGGGCAACACAGCAAGACCCCACCUCUACAUAAAAUUUAAAAAUUAGCCAGGUGUGCUGGCACUCACCUGUAGGCCCAACUACUUGGGGGUCUAAGGUAGGAGGAUGGCUUGAGCCUAGGAGUUCAAGGCUGCAGUGAGCUAGGAUCGCUCCACUGCAUCCUAGCCGGGGCGACAGACAGACAUCCUAUCUCAAAAAACAAACCAAAAAAACCCCAUGAGUUUUGGGACAGAGCUGGGCUCAAAAGAGGUCUCUGACACCAUGGGAUGCAUGACUAUGGUGGAGUCAAAACUGUCUGGGGCUCAGGUUCCUUAUCUGUAAAAUAAGGACAAUGACAGCAGGACUUCAUAAACACUAAAUGAGAGACUCUACAUAAAGCCUUAGCUCAGGGGCUGGCACUUGUACGCCGUUAGCUGUUACAUUAUCCUUAUUACUAUGUUAGUUAAGAAGUGGCUCCCCGAACCAGCUGCAACAGAGUCACUUGGGGAACUUACGUGUGCAGAACCUCCAGGGAUAGAGCUCAAGAACCUGAACUUUUUUUUUCCCCCUCUUUUUCUUUUUGAGAGAGUUUUGCCCUGUCGCCCAGACUGGAGUGCAGUGGCACAAUCUUGGUUCACUGCAGCCUCUGCCUCCUGGGUUCAAGCGAUACUGGCGCCUCAACUUCCCAAGCAGCUGGGAUUACAGGUGUGUGCCACCAUGCCUGGCUAACAUAUGUAUAUAUUAUGUGUGUGUGUGUGUAUAUAUAUAUAUAAAAUACAUGAUAUAUAAAAAUAUAUAUAACAUAAUAAUAUGUAGUAUACAUAAAUGUAUACGGUAUAUAUAAUACAUAUAUAUAAUUUUUUUUUUGAGACGCAGUCUCACCCUGUCGCCCAG
rnacentral:lncRNA from 1 species